UAGGGGGCAAGCGUUAUCCGGAUUUACUGGGUGUAAAGGGAGCGUAGACGGCAGGGCAAGUCUGGAGUGAAAGGCCGGGGCCCAACCCCGGGACUGCUCUGGAAACUGUCCGGCUGGAGUACAGGAGAGGUAAGUGGAAUUCCUAGUGUAGCGGUGAAAUGCGUAGAUAUUAGGAGGAACACCAGCGGCGAAGGCGGCUUACUGGACUGUAACUGACGUUGAGGCUCGAAAGCGUGGGGAGCAAA
rnacentral:rRNA from 1 species